UACGUAGGGUGCAAGCGUUAUCCGGAAUUAUUGGGCGUAAAGAGCUCGUAGGCGGUUUGUCGCGUCUGCUGUGAAAACUGGAGGCUCAACCUCCAGCCUGCAGUGGGUACGGGCAAACUAGAGUGCGGUAGGGGAGAUUGGAAUUCCUGGUGUAGCGGUGGAAUGCGCAGAUAUCAGGAGGAACACCGGUGGCGAAGGCGGAUCUCUGGGCCUUACCUGACGCUCAGGUGCGAAAGCGUGGGGAGCGAACAGGA
rnacentral:rRNA from 1 species